CAGUAGCCGCGGUAAUACGAAGGGUGCAAGCGUUAAUCGGAAUUACUGGGCGUAAAGCGUGCGUAGGCGGCUUGUUAAGUCUGUUGUGAAAUCCCCGGGCUCAACCUGGGAAUGGCAAUGGAUACUGGCAAGCUAGAGUGUGGUAGAGGAUAGUGGAAUUUCCGGUGUAGCAGUGAAAUGCGUAGAGAUCGGAAGGAACACCAGUGGCGAAGGCGACUCUCUGGUCUGUAACUGACGCUGAGGAGCGAAAGCGUGGGGAGCGAACAGGAUUAGAUACCCCUGUAGUCCCUGUCUCUUAUAC
rnacentral:rRNA from 1 species